rnacentral:rRNA from 1 species
AAAACUAGCCAGUCCUUUGGGUUUGAAACCUAUUUGGGCGAGAGUAGUACUAGGAUGGGUGGCCUCCUGGGAAGUCCUCGUGAAAGGGUUUC